ACGUAGGGACCAAGCGUUGUUCGGAUUUACUGGGCGUAAAGCGUGCGCAGGCGGUUCGCCAAGUCAGGUGUGAGAUCCCCGGGCUUAACCUGGGAAUUGCGCUUGAAACUAGCGGGCUUGAGUGCGGCAGAGGGGGGUGGAAUUCCACGUGUAGCAGUGAAAUGCGUAGAGAUGUGGAGGAACACCGAUGGCGAAGGCAGCCCCCUGGGUCGACACUGACGCUCAUGCACGAAAGCGUGGGGAGCAAACAGGA
rnacentral:rRNA from 1 species